rnacentral:tRNA from 1 species
AAUAGCUCAGCGGUAGAGCAGUUGACUGUUAAUCAAUUGGUCGUUGGUUCGAUCCCAACUU